rnacentral:rRNA from 1 species
AGAUUGAACGCUGGCGGCAUGCUUUACACAUGCAAGUCGAACGGGCUGUUGGGGCAACCUGGCGGUCAGUGGCGAACGGGUGAGUAAUGCGUCGGAACGUGUCCCGUAGUGGGGGAUAACCCGGCGAAAGCCGGACUAAUACCGCAUAUGCUCUGAGGAGGAAAGCGGGAGAUCCGCAAGGACCUCACGCUAUGGGAGCGGCCGAUGUCCGAUUAGCUUGUUGGUGAGGUAAAGGCUCACCAAGGCGACGAUCGGUAGCUGGUCUGAGAGGAUGAUCAGCCACACUGGGACUGAGACACGGCCCAGACUCCUACGGGAGCAGCAGUGGGAAUUUGGACAA